rnacentral:tRNA from 1 species
GGAGAGGUGGCUCAGAAGUUAAGAGCAAGGACUGCUCUUCCAGACCUGGGUUCAAUUCCCAGCAUCCUCA